GUGGGUUUGGAAUGUGGAACUCUGUGGGGCAGGGUGGACCAGGAGGGGAAGAAAAUCAGGAGUGUAAAAAUGAAUAAAUAAAAAAAAUUUUAAAAAGAGAGAGUAUGGCCCUACACAAGACAUUGUGGUAGAUACAGUGAUGAGUGGCUGAUCUUUCUUAUUAAGGAGUUUAUUUUAUCUGCAAAUUCCUUCCUGGGGAGAAACAAAGGUCUAGAGUCAUGGUUCUUAAACUUUUUGGAAAUUGCUGGAGCCCUGCAGAGAUUUUACUCCUAAGGACUGAGUUUAGCAUACAAGAAACCAUAACUGACAACUUUUAAAGCAUUUAUUUUGCUAAAAUCAUAAGAUAAAAUAACCCCAUACACCCUGAUACAGAAAACACUUUUUUUUUAAUCAAGGAAACCAUUUUCUAAAACAAGAUUUAGUGAAGGAGUAACAUCGUUUACAUUCUUACAAAUCUGCUGGAGAUCUGGCGUAGUCACUGACAGCUGGCUUCUAAGAUCAGCUUUGGCACCGAGGUAUAUACAGCAGUAAGAGAGCAAGAAUGGUAAAGGCACAUCAUGUCUUCUGACCAUGGUGUGCAUUGCUUGGCCUCACAGACCUCCUGAGAAGAUCUCAGUGGCCUCCAGGGACCCAAGACCACAUGCUAGGAACCACGGUUCCCCUACCAAUAGAAGUAAGUGUCAAAACCAGACAAAUUAUAGUGUGGAUUCAGACUUACCUGUAGUUUUAACUUAGGGAACAGAGUCCAUGAUUUGGACUUGUGCUUCUAAGAUUGGACUUAUCUUCUUGUAGACAGAGGAGCUGAUUGGUCUGCUCUCUAGCACUGUGAACACAGCCUUCUCAAAAGGCUUGGGAUAAAUGGGGUUUAGCACACUGAUGAGGGUGACCAUAUGCCUUAUUUGCUUUGGGAAGUCUCAGGGUGUUGUCUAUUAAAAGUGCCCCUUAGUCUUCAAAAGUAUCCUAAUUUGGUGGUCAAAUUUAUGGUCAAUUUAAAGAUAACCUUUAAAAUCAAUGGAAGGUUCCUGUCUCUUUUCACUGUACGGAUAAGCAGAAAGAAGCCAAACUGGUUCAAAUAAUGAUAUUUCACCCAACCCUGGGGGAAAACAACUUCCCACCUCAGGGUCUUUUGCUGAACAGUUCUCCACAGCAGCCCAUGCUGGCUUCUUGUUCUGUACCUAGUUAGAGUUUGAACGAUGAGAUGUCAAAUGUUUCAGAUCGGUUGAAAUGUAACCUGUAAAUGAAGGCUACCAAUUAACAGGCCGAGUUAACUAACCACUAGUCUAUCAAAACAUUAGGCAAAACCCUGCACACCAGUUCACCACACCACCAGAAAUUGAGGCAACACAGUAAGACAAGGGACUUCUUUGAAGACAUAGUAAGUCUGCCAAGGCCGAGCGCCAUGAUCAUGGCGGGGGGUAAGAAGAGGACUGGAAAAGAAGUGCUAUAAAAUCUGAUUAGUGAGCCUUGGAACUGACGGGAAGCUGGCUCUGCAGCCCCGAGUGCCAAAGAGACCUUAGCAGUUGUCCAGGCUUUUAGUAAGGAGGGUGAAAUUAUAAGAACGUUUUUAUGAGUUGUGGCUGGCAAGCCCUAGCCUGUUAAAGGUCUUUAAAAACCAAUGCCUUGGUGGAGGUAACACUCAGUGUUUACUGUAGCUCUAGUUGUUAAGGGUUACUGCUAAGGUCCUGGUUUUCCAUGACAUCAGCAGCAUUCCGAGGGAAGUGUGUGUCAGUGACUUUCAGUAAUGACUCCUUUUUCCAAAUGUUCAAAGCUUCUGCCAGGCUGCCCUGCACCUGCACAGCAGCUGAACUGCAGGAAAAGGAAAAGCAAGACAGAUUAAGUGGGAUUUUUGUCUGGAUUCCUUAAUGAGACUAAAGGCUUUUCUUCCUCCUGCACUUGGUUUUUGUAAUAAACCGAUGCCAGCCCUUUUAGGAGUGACAUAGCUCCCUUUUAGCUUUUCAUAAACUCAUCUGAUUGUCUGCCAUGACCUCUCACUGCCAGAUUCUGGAAUCGACUGUUGAGACUUUUUCUUCUGCAGGAAAGGUUUCGGACUUAAUGAAAUGAUAGCACAGCAGGCUCGCCCUCUCCGCGAGUUUCUGAGGGAGGCAUCUGUUACAUCCCAAAUUUGUCAAAAACAGAAGUAUUGAGGAGACCUUCAGCAUCCAAACCAGACUUCAUCCUUCACCACCCAUCCUUUGCCACAGAAGCAACAACGUCAUUUGGUGUGGAAAACUCUGGGAAGAAAAAACCCGAGCCAUGGAAAAAAAUGUUCAACAGGAAUCUGCCUCCAGCUCUGCAGACUUUCAAGUUCGCCCUUGCUUCUUGGGUCUGGAAGCAAGACUCUUGUGCCCAGAAUAUGGCUGGACGAAGAAGGCCGUUUCAAAUCACACCCUGAGGGCUAGGAACAGAACACUUAGUCUACAGUCUUCCAAAGAGGAUUGAAGGGCUGGACUAUAGAGGCUCCUUUCUCAUUGGCUCUUGGUGAUGUCAUGGCCCUGUCUCCAGGGCCCAGGAAAUUCACCGUGACUAAUGGAGCCCUCACUUGUGAAUACACAUUCCGUCUCGGAGGAGCAGCAACAGUCUGAGUGUCAGGGCAACACAGAAGGCCCAGUUAGGGAUGCCAGCCAGCCAUGCACAGAGGGGCUCAGAAGUUCUGAAAUAAGCUAUUGGUUCACCUUCUCAGUAAACCCUCACCGACUAUCUGUGGCCUGUACCUACUACAGGCCGAGAACUGUUAAACAACAGCAGUCUCUGAGACUGAAUCAACAUCCUUCCAGACUUAUAUGGCAGGCAUCGGCAAUUUUUUUUUUAAAAUAAAGGGCCUGAUACUAUUUUUACUACAAUUUUAGUCCCUAGGCCAUAUAGUCUUUAUUGAAACCAGUCAUUUCUGUCUCUAAAGUACAAAAGCGGCAAGCGACAAUAUGUAAUUGUCACACAGUGCUCCUGCGAUAAAACAUGACUUACAAAGUCCACCAUCAGACCGACUUUGGCUCAUGAGCUAUUACUUGGUGACCUGUGUUUUUAGUAAGUAUUAACUCUUCCCUGCCCCUUAGGGGACCAAGUACUCACAAAUAAAGGUACAGUUAAAAGAAAGCAUAUGAAAGAGAUUUCCACAAUAUGCUUUCAGGACAUUCUUCUAAGACUUAAAGAAGCCGGAGUGGCUCUCUUGUAACUUUGAGAAUAUAGACUCUAGAAAUAAAUGUUUGAGUCUGAGUGGCAUCCCUGCUAUCGCUCAGUAUAAGGCCUUACUCCAAACUGCACCUGCUCAGUCAGGCUAGGAUGAACGUUCAUGGAGAUAACAUUUGGAUAGAGCUCAGUAGACUGCCCAGGAUGCUUCAGCACUCAGCAGCAACAUGCUAUGAAUGUCAAGGGUUUUACAAGUGAUCACGAUUACCGCCUUUGACGGCCGAUGCUCAGAGAAAAGCAGCACGGGACACUAUAAAUGCUGGCACGCUAUGAACUUCUUUCCAAAUCCAUUAAUUCCUAUUAAUGCCAUCAUUACAUUAAUAGCUACACACAGUUCCAUGUUGAACUGUCCCUAUAUUAAAUGCCUGAGCUGUGCGCUGCCUGUCAUCAUCA
rnacentral:sRNA from 1 species